CAGAAAGCAGAGAUUCCAGUAACUUGCCCAGCAAGACAUCUUUGACUACAGAUGCUGCAAUACUACUAACCAUUGCACUUUUAAUCAUUGGGCUCUUGGUUAUUUUUUCAUGCAAAAAACAUGUGAAAGCGUCUGUGCAGAAUGAGAAACAGCCCCUCAGUGAAGGUAAGCUUGAUAACAGAGUAUUGGAGCAGAGUGUGUCAAGCAGGCACUAAGUGUUAGCAGAGUGAAUUGGGAUGCUGUACAUGAAUACAGUAAUGCAUUGUGAGUAACAUUUACUAUAUGGCCAUAUUAAAAAGGGAUGGAAUGUGAUUUAAAGUGUUGUGUUUUUGUUUGCAGGAUGUGAAUCUUGUAAGAAACUGGAUUCUGAGCUACAGCGUUAUAAAGAGAAUGCUGGAAAGAUCAAGAAACAUUUGCCCCUCCAAGAGGCUUCUGUACAGACCGAUAAGGAGCUGGCAAACAAUGAUUCUGAGAUAGAGCGUUUUAAAGAGGAAUGCAAAGAACUGCGUGAAAAUUUUAGUAAGUUCAUUUAUAUAUUUUAUUUCAUUGUAUUGUGUAUCUAUUCAGGGAUCGCAAUAUAUUUAGUGAGAAAGAAAGCAAGCAAGGAAGAAAUGGGUCUGAGUUGUGGGGUGAAACUGAAACAGCUGUUACUAUACAUUAAUACAUCUGUCACUAUACUUGUUGUGAUUGGUGGG